rnacentral:rRNA from 1 species
UACGGGGGGGGCAAGCGUUGUCCGGAAUCAUUGGGCGUAAAGAGCGUGUAGGCGGCUUGGUAAGUCCGCUGUGAAAGUCCAGGGCUCAACCCUGGAAUGCCGGUGGAAACUGUCAGGCUCGAGUCCGGAAGAGGCGAGUGGAAUUCCUGGUGUAGCGGUGAAAUGCGCAGAUAUCAGGAGGAACACCAAUGGCGAAGGCAGCUCGCUGGGACGGUACUGACGCUGAGACGCGAAAGCGUGGGGAGCAAACAGG